GAAAUAAUAUUUUUGCAAGUCGCGCUUCCAGUUGCUGCACACUUCUCAACUCUACAAAUUUACUGAUUUUAUUGAUUCUUCUUGUCUGAUUCUGUUUUUCGUAGAAUUGAAGUAUUAUUAUAAGAAAAAUUCAGUAUAAUAAGACUUAAGUUUUAUUGAAAUACAUUCUUUGUUUAAAGAAUGGCUGCCCACAAGACAUUUAAAAUAAAGCAGAAGUUGGCAAAAAAGAUGAAGCAGAACAGACCAAUUCCACAAUGGAUUCGAAUGAAGACUGGCAACACUAUCAGGUACAAUGCCAAGCGUCGCCACUGGAGAAGAACUAAGCUAAAGUUGUAAAUUUCUUUGCAAGGUCUACAUUGUAUCAUAUGCUAUAUCUAAAUAAAAUCACAUAAAUCACAA